AUGUGGUUUCUGCAUUUCUUUAGAAUCUGGAUGCGCUGGUUUCGGAGCAGUAACGUGUGCUCACUUGGGACUGGUGAGCUGUUUGCUGAGGCUUCCUCAGUCGUGUAUAUUGCCCUCAAGCUCUCAGUUCUUGCUGAAAAUACAGGGGUCCAAUCGCUUCAGGUGGUUUCUGAUUGUCCCUCGGUAAUUAAUGAAGUCCAACAACAACAAGGCCUCGAUAGAUCUCUCACCAGUGCGGCGGUGCUAUUAUCCGUAAUAUUUAAGAGCAGAGCUAGAAAGUUUAUAUCCUGUGCACAUAGACAUGCUGUUCGUAGGUGUAAGGAGGCAGCUCAUGUUCUGAUCACUCAGUUGUAG
rnacentral:rRNA from 1 species